CGGUUGAAUAGGUUUGAGCACUGAGACUCAAAGCAAGGACAGAGGUAGCCCUUAGCUGACUAAAGUUGAAAGGAAUCGAGUACAGGUCCGGACCCCGAGAUGGAUUUUGACUACUACGACUUCGAUAAAGUUACCGAUCCAGAGAUCAGGAAAGUUGUUUUGGCCCACCGAAAUAGCAGAACACCCGACCCCUCCUUGGAAGUUGAUGGCAACCUGUAUACCCGUCGGAUGUCUUCGGAUUUCCGCGCGGAAAACCAAGAAAGCUGGGCAGGUAGAUCAUCGUCUCAAGAAAAUAAAGAUGAGGAGCCUAACAAGUAGCCUGUAUCGCACUUCUCUAGCAAUGAGCUUGCUCUAUAAUUGAACACCUUUUAUAAUGGCAGAGAGAGCCGUGAAUAUUUUAUACUAUACGUUGCCAGGCCAAUUAUUAUAUCGAACCGCAUUAAAUUCACAGCCGCUUGAUGUCCAUUCGUCAUCCAUGAUCUUCAACCUAUUACGCCAAUCACAAUGUAAAUAAAUAUCUAAUUCAAUAAACGGAUAGACUUAAUGCUUUUUAUUAA